AACGAACGCUGGCGGCAUGCCUAACACAUGCAGGUCGAACGAGACCUUCGGGUCUAGUGGCGCACGGGUGCGUAACGCGUGGGAACCUGCCCUUAGGUUCGGAAUAACUCCCCGAAAGGGGUGCUAAUACCGGAUAAUGUCUUCGGACCAAAGAUUUAUCGCCUUUGGAUGGGCCCGCGUUGGAUUAGCUAGUUGGUAGGGUAAAAGCCUACCAAGGCGACGAUCCAUAGCUGGUCUGAGAGGAUGAUCAGCCACACUGGGACUGAGACACGGCCCAGACUCCUACGGGAGGCAGCAGUGGGGAAUAUUGGACAAUGGGCGAAAGCCUGAUCCAGCAAUGCCGCGUGAGUGAUGAAGGCCUUAGGGUUGUAAAGCUCUUUUACCCGGGAUGAUAAUGACAGUACCGGGAGAAAAAGCUCCGGCUAACUCCGUG
rnacentral:rRNA from 1 species